GGGCCGGGCCGGGCCGGGCCCUGCCCGCGGGGGCGAAGGGCGGGUUCCCGCUGUGCCCCGGUACCCUCGGGUUCCCCGGCUCCCCCCGAGCCGUUCGGGUCGCUCCUUCUCCCGGCCGUGCGGAGCCGGGGCGGGUCCCGUUGCGGGGCCUUUGUUCCGCAGCCCGUCGUGCCUCCCACGCGGGCAGGAAGGGACGGGAAGGGAUGUGGGGAGUUUUCGGUCGUGUCAAAAGCGUUAAUUAAAGGUCUCGUGGCUGUUUACGGCGGAGGCUCACAGCUCCUGGGUUGUGCUGGCUGGGCAGGGGCUUUAGCUGCUUUGCUCGUGUUUAGCUUCGUUCUUCGGUCAGAGCAGUGAGAAACUGCCUGGAGGGACGGCACUGACCGCGAACUCUUCUGAGGAGCUCGGUGGGACAGGCUGCAUUCCCGACCCCUCACAGGGCGACAUCCCCAUCUGUGUGCGGAGUGGCCGUGGGGCGCCGUGCAGACUCCACACUGUGCUGACCCCUGGCCGUGCUGACCCCUGGCCGUGCUGACCCCUGACCCCUGGCCGUGCUGACCCUGACCCCUGGCCGUGCUGACCCCUGGCCGUGCUGACCCCUGACCCCUGGCCGUGCUGACCCCUGGCCGUGCUGACCCUGACCCCUGGCCGUGCUGACCCCUGGCCGUGCUGACCCCUGGCCGUGCUGACCCCUCGGUGAUGCCGGCCCCUGCCCGGCUGUCCUGGCCCGCUGAGGCGUGACGGCGGCACCACGGCGGGGCCGGCCCGGCCCACGCGCUGCAGGGUGGUCAUCUACCUCCAGAAGGACAUGUCGGGGGACACGUGCCUGGGCAGCGCCCUGUGCCCGGCCGCGGGGCACAAGGCCAAGGCCGGCGGGCUGAAGGGCAGCAGCCUGGGGAACAAGUACGUGCGGCUCAACGUCGGGGGCUCCCUGUACUACACCACGGUGCAGGUGCUCACCAGGCACGACACCAUGCUCAAGGCCAUGUUCAGCGGCAGGAUGGAGGUGCUCACCGACAAGGAAGGCUGGAUCCUUAUAGACCGUUGUGGGAAGCACUUUGGAACAAUUUUAAACUAUCUCAGAGAUGACACGAUUGCACUUCCAAAACACAGGCAGGAGAUCAAAGCCUUGAUGGCAGAAGCCAAAUACUAUCUCAUCCAGGGCUUAGUGGACAUGUGCCAAGCAGCCCUGCAGGACAAGAAAGACUUGUAUGAACCUGUCUGCAGCAUCCCUAUUAUCACCUCUCCGAAAGAAGAGGAGAGACUGAUAGAGUCAUCAAUGAAACCUGUUGUUAAACUGCUGUAUAAUAGAAGCAACAAUAAAUACUCCUACACCAGUAACUCUGAUGACAACUUGCUGAAGAACAUCGAGCUGUUUGACAAGCUGUCCCUGCGGUUCAACGGCAGAGUGCUGUUCAUCAAGGACGUCAUCGGGGACGAGAUCUGCUGCUGGUCCUUCUACGGGCAGGGCCGCAAGCUGGCCGAGGUGUGCUGCACCUCCAUCGUCUACGCCACGGAGAAGAAGCAAACCAAGGUUGAAUUCCCCGAGGCGCGGAUUUACGAGGAGACGCUGAACGUGCUGCUGUACGAGACGCCCCGGGUGCCCGAUAACUCGCUGCUGGAGGCCACGAGCCGCAGCCGCAGCCAGGCCUCGCACAGCGAGGACGACGAGGGCUUCGAGCUGCGCGACCGCGUGCGCCGCAUCCACGUCAAGAGAUACAGCACCUACGACGACCGCCAGCUCGGCCACUAGCUGUGCCGUGCCCCCUGUGCUCGGGCAGCAGGGGGGGAUCCCCUGGACAUCCAUCCCCGCGGGGCGCCUCGGCCCCCCGGGAGAGCCAGCGGGGAUUUGCGUGCACAAAGCGGCGCUAAAGGCCGAGCCUCGGAGGGCUGAGCUGUGAGUCGUGCGCCUUGUGCUUUACCUGCAGGCUGGCCCCUCUUCCUGCUGGGGAGGGGCACGGGGGACGCUGGUUCUCAGUUUGUGGUUGCUCUUUCCUGCCUCACCAUGUGCCAGUUUCUCCCUUGCCGGAGCAGCGCUGCCCUUCCUGAGUGACGUGGGGCGGUUUGAAAAGCUCUUUCCAGCCAGCUCCCCUGUCAGGACCUUGUACAGUGGAACUUGCAGUUAUUAAAUGAAGAUACUGAAGAGAGAACUUGAAUGUGGCUGCCCUUGGCAGACCCUGCAGGGGAUAACCCCCAGGAGAAACGUUUGGCUGGCCAGUCAGCUGCACCUGUGCUCUCCCAGCCCUGUCCCCAGAGCAGCUGCACUGGCCUGUGUUCCAGGGUAGUGUCUUUAAAACCCAUCGAUUCCAAGGCAAGCUCUUCCAGUGUGUAAGAACCAAGUCAUCAGCCUCUCCGUGUGAAAAAUGGAAGUCUCUGAAAAUGUAAAUGUGUGGUAAUGACUUAUCCUGGGAGAGGGGGAAAUGGUAUGGUGAGGGAAAGAAACCUGAAAUAAGCCAGCUUGAGCAGGUUGUGGCUCUGCUGCCCUGGUUGAAGCUUGUCACUGUGAAAUCCUGUUGACAUAAACAAGAGCAGUCUGGGGAAUUGGUUUUACAUUCUUUUCCUCUUGUAGCCUAAACAUGCUAUUUAAUGUUAAAUUUCUCAAGCAGCGGGGGGGAAAAUUGCAGUGGCUGGAGAAGUACAGGCUAAACAGUGUUUUGUAAGGCUAGAACCUGUGAAUUCAAGUUCUGUGUCCUGAAUCUCUUCUAGAGGGUAGAAGUUGAAGAAGAAAAACAGCAGUGAAAAUACUGUUCUAGCAUGGAACUGCGAGAGGCUUUGGGCACAGGAGAGAGGUGGCUUGUACUGGAUUUUAAACUGAAAUAAUCACUUUUAUUAGGAGUGCUUGGCUGGGUGCUGAUUGUACAGGGCACUUCAGGAGGUGGGAGUCAAGUCUGCUCUGAAAAUUUGUAAAUAUCUGGAAUUUUUCUGGAAACAGUUUCAAGUUCAGUAUGAAAAGCCACUGUUGUAUUUUUAAACCUUUGUUUGUGUGUUUUAGCUGUAGGUAGCAGCUUUGCCACUGUCGUGGUUAUUCCUGCUGGCUGCCCACUGGGAGCCAGGGAUAUUUUGGGUGUAUUCCACAGCUGCCUUUGUGUUCCCAUGUCAUACUGGGUCACAGAGCUCCACAUUCCACAAUGGUCAGUCCUGGACUGCUUUGACCACUGCCAAAUCCACCUGUAAGUUCUGAAUAAAAUUACUGCAAAAGAAAGUAAUCCCAGCUUAAUGCAGGGAGUUCCUAAGGAGAAUUGAGGUGUAGAUGGUUUUGGAGUAAUAGAAGCAGGGGAGGGAGCAAAAGAUUAUUUGCACUCAUUUAGGUUUUUGAAAACUAAAAUGUUGUGGGUUAGUAAGAAAACACUAACAGACUUUUAGGGUUUUCUUGCCUCUACAUGUGGCAGGAUUCACUUCAUUCUCCUCACAUUCAGGAAGCAGCAUUGCACAGGGAUGCACCUGCCUUCUUGUGAAAGGCCUCUUGAAAUCUAAUAAUCCUAACAACCUCUUUUAUAUUUCUUUCUGUAAGUUUUUGUUUUCCAGCUGGUUAUUCUGUUGUGCCAGGGAAAAUACAGCUGUUGAGAUUUAUUUUCAACAGAGAUUUCUGUGGUAUUUCUCUCUAAUUCUGCUAGAGUGUGAUGUGGAUUUUUAAAAUUUUUUCCCUCCACUGAUGCUAUUUAAUUAGAAGGCACCAGCAGAGGCUGCAGGGGUUGGGUCUUUGUGCUGCAUUUAAUAGCUUCAAGUUAUUAUCUUGUGCUUUUUCUGUCUUGUAACAAAGACUGAUGCCAUUUAAAAAACACGUGGUGCUUCUGUUUCUUGGCAAAUUAUUUAUAUUAUUUUUCUUCUUAUUGCUAUCAUAGUGAAUGUUAACAGAGUAAGUAAGUGAUGCUGAUAGCCUUGAAAAACUGUGUUUAAAUGAAGUUAUAAGCAGAAAAAUGUCAUAUUUGCUUUUAUUUUUUCUGGGGAGGACAGGUGUGGGAAGGAGUGUGUGAAAGGGAAUGUCAGAUCCGUGUGCUACUCCAGAGGCUUUUUGCACUCACAGGGUCCAUUAACAAAAUGGAUCCAACUUGUGACUUGUUACACUGUUAGAAGCAGAGAAAAGCCUGUGUUUUGGUUUAGUUUUCCUUUCCCUAUUUCCCACGGCCAACAAGUAGUAUUAAUUUCUGAUUUGAAUUUAGAUUAAUUAACCUGGGAAGCAAACAGUUUUGAGAACCAUCUGGGCUGUGAGAAUCUUCUACCACGUGCAGAGGAUCUCCUUGGUGUUUGUGGAAUGUGGAGUGUCAGUAGGAGCUGUCAGCAGUUGUGCACACGUUUGAGAUACGUGCAGAUACCCUUUUCAUUUCACUGCAGGGUCUCCUGUUUGUCUGGAGCUGCUCCUGCAUGCUGUGUCACUGAACCUGCCUUGCCCAAAGUCGUGCCCUGGUCCAGUCUCUGUCCCACCAGGUUCUGAUCAUUUCUAGGACUGGAGAUGUAACACGUGCUUUGUAUUCUCACCUUAAUCAGUCUUUAUGUAAUUGAAGGCUAUUCAUUACUGUGACAGGAAUGCUCUGGACAUUCUAAAGAUGAGCUUACAGCCAGUGUAGUGCAGCAGUGAGCAGAUGACACAGUCUAAGGCAGCAGUGGUGGGUUUGCAGUCAGCUUUCCAAGGAUCUCUGCUCAAAUUAAGCUCAAAUUAAGCCCAGAUUAAGACAAUACAGCUUUCUAAUUAUAUGUGUUUGCCUGCAAGUUGAGACUUGUGCUGGCUUCCACCCAGACCGUCGGCAGUGGCUGCAUGAACGGUGUGGCCGGGAAUUUGGAGUAGCCUUUGGGAGGAAAAAGAGCCUUUUUGCCCACUUGCAGGGUGUGAAUAGCUGUCAUUCUUACAGCACUCGCUGCCCUCUUCACUCCUAAACUUAGUCAAGGCUUUGUGCAUUCAGGCAGGGCCUGGCAGACUGGGUGAGCGGAGCCUUUGGGUGCCAGCCAUGCCAAGGCCUGUUUCCCAAGGCCUGUUUCCCAAGGCCUCUUUCCCAAGGCCACGUUUCCCAAGGCCUGCUUCCCAAGGGGAGUGCCCGGGCCUGUGCCCGGAGGGAGGCUCGGUGUCCGGGGCUGCUGGGCAGGAGCCCCAGGCCGAGUUCCUGGGGCAGCAGGCUCAGGGCAGAGAGCUCUGCAGGGCUCAGCUCUGCUCUGCUCAGCGCCCAAAGUCACUGCUUCACCUGCACCCUGACGUUUUGGUUUUUGACCAGGAGACAUUUAUCCUGCUGCAGUGUUCCGCUCCAGUGACUUUUCUUUGGCACUUCUUGGUUAAAAUAGAAAAUUAGUGGUGGGCAGGGAGGGUGUUGGAGGGGCCGUGUGUCACUGAGAGCUGCGUUGGAAUGGGCGUUGCUUACCGUGGCUUGCUUUGAUUUUGUUCUUCUGAGGUUUUUCAUUUCCAGGCAGCACUGGAGAUACACCUGAACUGGAUGGGUGUGCCCAGCAGCCCCUGCCUUGCACGGUGAGGCUGUGUCCUGUGACAAUCCUUGGCCCAGAACAGCCACCUUCCCCAGCUGUGGGGCAGGUGUGCCUGCAGAGUCCUGUUCCAGCUCUUUCUGCAGCUGUGUCACUUCUCCUCAUCCAGUGGAACGAGUGAGACCCUCCCCUGCCUCACAGGGUGGCUGACACUUAAUUUGUUCAUUGAGAGUAAAGGAUUCUUUUGGAUUUCUGUGAUGUUUUAUAUCCAGAGGAUAACAAUUAUGAUUGCUGAUCUUGUUUAAACUGACAUUCUGGGAUCAAGUUAUUUUCUUAGAGAUUCAGUCUUUGUUUUAUUUUCAUGUCUAACUUUUAAGGGUCAGUUUUACAGACAAUGCACCUAGUUAAUGCGCUAAUUAAUCAAUUAUCUGUUGAUUAAAGUGUUUCACCAGUGCAUUAAAAGAAAAUAGAACACUAAUUUUUAAUAAAGUA